rnacentral:rRNA from 1 species
UACGAAGGGGGCUAGCGUUGCUCGGAAUCGCUGGGCGUAAAGCGCACGUAGGCGGAUUGCUAAGUCAGGGGUGAAAUCCUGGAGCUCAACUCCAGAACUGCCUUUGAUACUGGCGAUCUUGAGUCCGGGAGAGGUGAGUGGAACUGCGAGUGUAGAGGUGAAAUUCGUAGAUAUUCGGCAAGAACACCAGUGGCGAAGGCGGCUCACUGGCCCGGUACUGACGCUGAGGUGCGAAAGCGUGGGAGCAAACAGG